UACGGGGGGGGCAAGCGUUGUUCGGAAUUACUGGGCGUAAAGGGCGUGUAGGUGGCCAACUAAGUCCGACGUGAAAUCCCCAGGCUUAACCUGGGAACUGCGUCGGAUACUGGAUGGCUUGAAUUCGGGAGAGGGAUGCAGAAUUCCAGGUGUAGCGGUGAAAUGCGUAGAUAUCUGGAGGAAUACCGGUGGCGAAGGCGGCAUCCUGGACCGAGAUUGACGCUGAAAACCGAAAGCUAGGGGAGCAAACGGG
rnacentral:rRNA from 1 species